rnacentral:rRNA from 1 species
CACCCCACCAGCUAGCCCAAACCCCUAAAAACAACAACCCACUAUUAAUACCCCAACAUUUUCACGUAAAACAAACCAUUUUUCCACCUAAGUAUGGGAGACAGAAAAAGACACACGGAGCAAUAGAAAAAGUACCGCAAGGGAAAGCUGAAACAGAAAUGAAAUAAUAUAUAAGGGAAAGACAGCAGAGAUUAAUACUCGUACCUUUCGCAUCAUGAAUUAGCCAGUAAUUCACAAGCAAAGCGCACUUUAGUUUGAAACCCCGAACCUAAGUGAGCUACUUCAAGGCAGCCUAACAAAGGGCAAACCCGUCUCUGUGGCAAAAGAGUGGGAAGACCUUCAAGUAGAGGUGACAAACCUACCGAACUUAGUAAUAGCUGGUUGCCCAGAAAUUGGAUAAAAGUUCAGCCUUUUAACUUCUCUAGCCCCCCAGCAACGCCUGACCCAGACUACAAGAAAUUAAAAGAGUUAGUCAAAGGGGGUACAGCCCCUUUGAACAAGAUACAACUUUAUCAGAAGGUAAAAGAUCAUAUUAUUUUAGACAAUGUGCUAUGGUGGGCCUAAAGGCAGCCACCCAAUCAGACAGCGUUAAAGCUCAAGCACAUAUUCUCAUACAUUAAGACAAAAUAUCUUAAACCCCUAAACUUACUAGGCCUCUCCAUGCCCCCAUGGAGGCGACCCUGCUAAUAUGAGUAAUAAGAGGGCCCAAGCCCUCUCCUGGCACUAGCACAUACCAGAACGAACCCCCACUGAAAAAUAACGUCCCCAAGCAAAGAGGGAACUGAACAAGACAUCGUCACCCAGAAAAAUGUUCAACAAACAAACGUUAACCCCACACAGGAGUGCCCAAGGAAAGACUAAAAGGAAGAGAAGGAACUCGGCAAACAAAAGCCCCGCCUGUUUACCAAAAACAUCGCCUCUUGCCCCUAAUAUAUAAGAGGUCCUGCCUGCCCUGUGACUUUAAGUUUAACGGCCGCGGUAUUUUAACCGUGCGAAGGUAGCGCAAUCACUUGUCUCUUAAAUAGAGACCUGUAUGAAUGGCAUCACGAGGGCUAAACUGUCUCCUCUCCCCGGUCAAUGAAAUUGAUCUACCCGUGCAGAAGCGGGAAUAAAACCGUAAGACGAGAAGACCCUAUGGAGCUUUUAGAUAAAGGAUAGAUUAUGUUAAACAACCCCAGACAAGAGAUUAAGCCUAAUAAUGCCUAUCCCCAUCUUUGGUUGGGGCGACCGCGGGGAGACAACCAACCCCCACGUGGAACAUGUAUACUCCACUUUAAAGCCAGAGCCACAGCUCUAACAAACAGAACGUUUGACCAUACAAGAUCCGGCACUGCCGAUCAACGGACCGAGUUACCCUAGGGAUAACAGCGCAAUCCCCUUACAGAGCCCAUAUCGACAAGGGGGUUUACGACCUCGAUGUUGGAUCAGGACAUCCUAAUGGUGCAACCGCUAUUAAGGGUUCGUUUGUUCAACGAUUAAAGUCCUACGUGAUCUGAGUUCAGACCGGAGAAAUCCAGGUCAGUUUCUAUCUACGAGAUGUUCUUUUCUAGUACGAAAGGACCGAAAAGAAGAGGUCACUGGUUAAAACAAACCUCACCCCGACCUAAUGAAGGCAACUAAAAUAGGUAAGGGGGCAUGACCCCUUGGCCAAAGAAAAAGGCAU